rnacentral:rRNA from 1 species
CCUACGGGUGGCAGCAGUGGGGAAUAUUGGACAAUGGGGGGAACCCUGAUCCAGCCAUGCCGCGUGUGUGAAGAAGGCCCUCGGGUUGUAAAGCACUUUCAGUGAGGAAGAACGCCUGGUGGUUAAUACCCAUCAGGAAAGACAUCACUCACAGAAGAAGCACCGGCUAACUCCGUGCCAGCAGCCGCGGUAAUACGGAGGGUGCGAGCGUUAAUCGGAAUUACUGGGCGUAAAGCGCGCGUAGGUGGCUUGAUAAGCCGGUUGUGAAAGCCCCGGGCUCAACCUGGGAACGGCAUCCGGAACUGUCAAGCUAGAGUGCAGGAGAGGAAGGUAGAAUUCCCGGUGUAGCGGUGAAAUGCGUAGAGCUCGGGAGGAAUACCAGUGGCGAAGGCGGCCUUCUGGACUGACACUGACACUGAGGUGCGAAAGCGUGGGUAGCAAACAGGAUUAGAUACCCGUGUAGUC